AUGGCCAUGGAACGAUCGAUUUGUCAAUCGGAUUCGCUUGGCCGUCGCCUAGCAUCAGGCUCGGGGACUAUGGUGCAGCCAAGGAUGACUUGCCGAUCGAAUAAUGAUACAUCAUCGUCAUAUACAUUGAUCGAUCGGCGAGUUGUUCUUGGCUACGUCUUAGCUCCUGCUCCUCAUGUCAGGCCGGCCUGCGGUUGUGACGCUUCUCGCCAUGGUGAUUCCAAGCAUGCUGCAUCAGGUGGAUACAAAGCAUGGAUAGACAUUCUCCGUUUAAAAAUUAAGGGAGCCAUGGUCUCGUCUGCCCAGCCCAACCGGACGGCUGUAGCGGAUGAGCAGGCGUUCGUUGGAACUUGGAAGCCAUGGGAUGUCAAGAAUUCCUGGACGUGGGUUCGGAGGUCCUACAGCUUCAUUUGA
rnacentral:rRNA from 1 species